UACGUAGGGUGCGAGCGUUGUCCGGAAUUAUUGGGCGUAAAGGGCUCGUAGGCGGUUUGUCGCGUCGGGAGUGAAAACAUCGGGCUUAACUCGGUGCUUGCUUUCGAUACGGGCAGACUUGAGGCAUGCAGGGGAGAACGGAAUUCCUGGUGUAGCGGUGAAAUGCGCAGAUAUCAGGAAGAACACCCGUGGCGAAGGCGGCUCUCUGGGACGGUACUGACGCUGAGACGCGAAAGCGUGGGGAGCGAACAGG
rnacentral:rRNA from 1 species